rnacentral:rRNA from 1 species
AACGAACGCUGGCGGCAGGCUUAACACAUGCAAGUCGAGCGAGACCUUCGGGUCUAGCGGCGGACGGGUGAGUAACGCGUGGGAACGUGCCCUUCUCUACGGAAUAGCCCCGGGAAACUGGGAGUAAUACCGUAUACGCCCUUUGGGGGAAAGAUUUAUCGGAGAAGGGUCGGCCCGCGUUGGAUUAGGUAGUUGGUGGGGUAAUGGCCCACCAAGCCGACGAUCCAUAGCUGGUUUGAGAGGAUGAUCAGCCACACUGGGACUGAGACACGGCCCAGACUCCUACGGGAGGCAGCAGUGGGGAAUCUUAGACAAUGGGGGCAACCCUGAUCUAGCCAUGCCGCGUGAGUGAUGAAGGCCUUAGGGUUGUAAAGCUCUUUCAGCUGGGAAGAUAAUGACGGUACCAGCAGAAGAAGCCCCGGCUAACUCCGUG